UACGUAGGGUGCGAGCGUUAAUCGGAAUCACUGGGCUUAAAGCGCGUGUAGGUGGACGGGUAAGUAUCUUGUGAAAUCCCACGGCUCAACCGUGGAACUGCUGGAUAUACUGCUUGUCUUGAGGCACUUAGGGGUCAGCUGGAACAAAUGGUGGAGCGGUGAAAUGCGUAGAUAUCAUUUGGAACGCCAAAGGCGAAAGCAGCUGCUGGGAGUGAUCUGACACUGAGACGCGAAAGCCAGGGAGC
rnacentral:rRNA from 1 species